rnacentral:rRNA from 1 species
AAUGAACGUUGGCGGCAUGGAUUAGGCAUGCAAGUCGAGCGUGAAGUGUAGCAAUACACGGAAAGCGGCGGAAGGGAGAGUAAUACGUGGGAAUCUGCCCUUAGACCUGGGAUAGCAACGGGAAACUGCUGGUAAUACCAGAUAAUGUCUAUGGACCAAAGGUGUGAUUCCGUAUAGGGAUGAGCCCACGUCCUAUUAGGUAGUUGGUAGGGUAAUGGCCUACCAAGGCGAUGAUGGGUAGCGGGUGUGAGAGCAUGACCCGCCUCACUGGGACUGAGACACUGCCCAGACACCUACGGGUGGCUGCAGUCGAGAAUCUUCGGCAAUGGGCGCAAGCCUGACCGAGCGAUGCCGCGUGCGGGAUGAAGGCCUUCGGGUUGUAAACCGCUGUCGAGGGGGAGCAACUUCCAUAGAGUUAUCUUUAUGGAUUGAGUGAUCCCUGGAGGAAGGACGGGCUAAGUUCGUGCCAGCCGCCGCCGUAAGAC